AGCUGCAACCUUUCAGAAGCACCUCAAGAGGCAGCGGGCGGCGGCGGCGCGGGGCUCUCUCGUGUUCGGCGUUGAGCCCCGGCUGCUGCCGCGGUCUCCAGAGCUGCUGCCUCAGCCACUGCCGCCGCUGCGGUCGUCCCUGACAGUCCCAGCUUCAGGGUGCUCCCCGCACGGCUCCUGCUGGUGUCCCUGGAGCGUGGGAGGCUGCUGAGCGUGACCGGUGGUGUCCGGUAGGAGCUGCGUGUCUCACCCUGUGGCGGGGAGGGCGUCCAUGGCUGCAGCCAACAAGGGCAACAAGUCCAGAGUCCGGAGUAUCCGCUUCGCAACAAGCCAUGAUGCAGAAAGCUCCCAGAGACAUGUCCACUUUGAUGAGAAGCUGCAUGACUCUGUGGUCAUGGUCACCCAGGAGAGCGACAGCAGCUUUCUGGUCAAGGUUGGACUCCUGAAGAUCCUGCACAGGUAUGAGAUCACCUCCACCCUACCCCCAGGGCACAGGCUGAGCAAGGACGUCCGAGACGCAGCUGUCCCCAGCCUGCACCUCCAGCUCCUCAGCGUCAUGCCCACCCCAGAGGUUACAGCGUCAAGUGUGAGUACUCCGCGCACAAGGAGGGCGUCCUCGGGAGGAGAUGCUGCUGGCCUGUGAAGGUGGCGCCGACACCUGCGUGCGCGUGCCGGCGCGGGCGCGCCUCACGGACGGACACCGCGCACACCCCUGAGGCUAGACGGUGUCAAGUGCCUGGGUGCUGGGCUAGGAUAGACUCAGCACAGUGACUGGAACGGCUUCGACUGA